rnacentral:SRP_RNA from 1 species
AUGGGGACUAGCCCGGGUGGCUCGGCGUCACUUGUAACCCGAAACCGUCGGUACGCGGGGGGCGAAGUUUGAGGAAGGCUGCAACGAUCUCCUGGAGCCUACCGUAUUCUGACGUUGAAACCUCGUCCCAUGAGGUCGAUGGCCAGGUAUCAAAAUUCCGGAGGGAAUGGCGACCUGUCGCUGCGGGAACCGGUUCAGGCCCGGAAGGGAGCAGACUUACCGC